GCUGGUGUGGCUCAGUGGAUAGAGCAUCAGCCUGCAGACUGAAAGGUCCCGGGUUCGAUUCCGGUCAAGGGCA
rnacentral:tRNA from 1 species